rnacentral:rRNA from 1 species
UACGUAGGGACCGAGCGUUGUCCGGAUUCAUUGGGCGUAAAGAGCUCGUAGGCGGCCACUCAAGUCGAAUGUGAAACCUCGAGGCUUAACCUCGAGCCUGCAUUCGAUACUGGGCGGCUAGAGUCUGGUAGGGGGAUCUGGAAUUCCUGGUGUAGCGGUGGAAUGCGCAGAUAUCAGGAGGAACACCGGUGGCGAAGGCGGCUUCCUGGACCGACACUGACGCUGAGGAGCGAAAGCCAGGGGAGCAAACAGG